rnacentral:rRNA from 1 species
AGUUUUCGGACAACGGAAGGUGAGGACAGUGGCGGACGGGUGAGUAACGCGUGAGGAACCUGCCUUUCAGAGGGGGACAACAGUUGGAAACGACUGCUAAUACCGCAUAAGCGCACAGCUUCGCAUGAAGCAGUGUGAAAAACUCCGGUGGUACAAGAUGGACCCGCGUCUGAUUAGCUGGUUGGUGAGGUAACGGCCCACCAAGGCGACGAUCAGUAGCCGGCCUGAGAGGAUGAACGGCCACACUGGAACUGAGACACGGUCCAGACUCC